CCUGAAAUCUGCUACUACAUUCAUCCCAGUCAUCAGCAACAGAGCAUUGGGAAACUUAAGAAGUGCCAGAUGUUUCAGUGCACAGAGCAGGACUGUUACAAGACUUGGAUAACCAAAGACCCAAUGCCUUGUCCCCUCAACCAGCCCUACUGUGAGCUGAAAAAGAUAACAACUGGUUCAUCAACAACCUGGAUGGGAGGCUGCAAUGCCAACUGCACAAUAAACACCUGGUGUACGACCACAACAGAUACAUGCCACCAAGAGUGCUGCAACACCUCCAUGACCUCCUGCCUCAAGCUGGAUGGUACUCUGAACGUUCCUUCUUCUGCCACUAGGGGUCUGCACUUCCCUUUAGCAAUGUUCACUGCUGCUCUGCUGGUUUGUCUGCUCAGCAUUGGUUCUCUGGCUUAAACUGGGUCGUGUUCAGUAGGUACCAAGCGGGGGAAAAAAUUA
rnacentral:lncRNA from 1 species